rnacentral:rRNA from 1 species
GAUGAACGCUGGCGGCGUGCCUAAUACAUGCAAGUCGAGCGAACAGACGGGGAGCUUGCUCCUCUGACGUUAGCGGCGGACGGGUGAGUAACACGUGGAUAACCUACCUAUAAGACUGGGAUAACUUCGGGAAACCGGAGCUAAUACCGGAUAAUAUAUUGAACCGCAUGGUUCAAUAGUGUAAGACGGUUUUGCUGUCACUUAUAGAUGGAUCCGCGCCGCAUUAGCUAGUUGGUAAGGUAACGGCUUACCAAGGCAACGAUGCGUAGCCGACCUGAGAGGGUGAUCGGCCACACUGGAACUGAGACACGGUCCAGACUCCUACGGGAGGCAGCAGUAGGGAAUCUUCCGCAAUGGGCGAAAGCUUGACGGAGCAACGCCGCGUGAGUGAUGAAGGUCUUCGGAUCGUAAAACUCUGUUAUUAGGGAAGAACAAAUGUGUAAGUAACUAUGCACGUCUUGACGGUACCUAAUCAGAAAGCCACGGCUAACUACGUG